AAAGGAAGCGAUUCCGGCUACGGAUGGUCAUGCGUCGCAUUAGCUAGUUGGCGGGGUAACGGCCCACCAAGGCGACGAUGCGUAGGGGUUCUGAGAGGAAGGUCCCCCACACUGGUACUGAGACACGGACCAGACUCCUACGGGAGGCAGCAGUGAGGAAUAUUGGUCAAUGGCCGCAGGGCUGAACCAGCCAAGUCGCGUGAGGGAUGACGGUCCUAUGGAUUGUAAACCUCUUUUGUCAGGGAGCAAAGGGCGCCACGUGUGGCGCUUUGCGAGUACCUGAAGAAAAAGCAUCGGCUAACUCCGUGCCAGCAGCCGCGGUAAUACGGAGGAUGCGAGCGUUAUCCGGAUUUAUUGGGUUUAAAGGGUGCGCAGGCGGAAUGUCAAGUCAGCGGUAAAAUUUCGGGGCUCAACCCCGUCGUGCCGUUGAAACUGGCGUUCUUGAGUGAGCGAGAAGUAUGCGGAAUGCGUGGUGUAGCGGUGAAAUGCAUAGAUAUCACGCAGAACUCCGAUUGCGAAGGCAGCAUACCGGCGCUCAACUGACGCUCAUGCACGAAAGCGUGGGUAUCGAACAGGAUUAGAUACCCUGGUAGUCCACGCAGUAAACGAUGAAUACUAACUGUCCGGGCAGAAUGAUGCCUGG
rnacentral:rRNA from 1 species